UCCAAAUACCUGCCCCCUAACACGCACGUCCUAAUGCCAGGUCCUGGAGACCCGCUACCCCUUGUUCCGCCCCUUUUCAGUUUUGCCUGCACGCGUUAUUGUUAACCUUGACUUCAUAGUUCCAUGACCUCAUUGCCGUCCUAUAACUCACCACUGUGCACUUCUCCCAAGCUACUGAGGUCCUCCCAAUCUACAACAUUUCGUACUUGGAAAUUAUCUUUCCUGGCCAGGCGCGGUGGCUCACGCCUGUAAUCUCAGCACUUUGGGAGGCCGAGGCGGGCGGAUCACAAGGUCAGGAGUUCCAGACCAGCCUGGCAAAUAUGGUGAAACCCCGUCUCUACUAAAAAUACAAAAAUUAGCCGGGUGUGGUGGCGGUCGCCUGUAAUUCCAGCUAUUCGGGAGGCUGAGGCAGGAGAAUUGCUUGAACCCGCAUGCGGAGGUUGCUUUGAGCCGAGUUUGCACCACUGCACUCCAGCCUGGGCGACAGAAUGAGACCCCGUCUCAAAAAAAAAAAAAAAAGAAAGAAAGAAAUUAUAUUUCCUGGCUAAGCGCGGUGGCUCACGCCUGUAAUCCCAACACUUUGCAAGAAAAAAGAAAAUUCUUUUUCCUGACCCAUCCAUCUAGCAUCCCACCUGACUAUUCAGUUUAGUUCAUCUGAAAUUUAUUGAGCUCCACAGUUUGGUACUCUACAACUCUUGGAUAUUCAAAUAUUUACAAGUUACUGAAUUUGUCCUCAAGAAACUCAGCUUAUCCGACUUUGUGGUUCUAUGGAGAAGAAAAAAAAAAACUGGGAAAGAUAGCCCUGUAAGCAAAUAAACAUAAUGCAGUUCCUGAGUGCUAUGAUAGAGAUAUACACAGGGUGUUGCAGAACCAUACCCAGAAGGCUUGCAAAAGGCUUUCCAAAAGGAAGUCACGCCUACGUUGUGUUCAAAGGAAGGUGAUUUGCCCAAUUCAAUGAUCAGCUCAACUUCUCAGUGCCUGAGAAGGAAGCUUUGCAGCCUGAUGAGCAACUUAGAGACCAGAUAAAUGGGAAGUUCCUAAAGCUCAGAAUGAAGGUAUGGAUUGACCUAUAGCCUAUCUUCGUGAGUAAGAAUUCCUGGAACAGUAAAAUCAGGUUGAUUUAGA